AGUCGAAGCGGGUUGGGAAAUGGUGUGACGAAAACGCAUAUCACAGCCAGCUUUGACGAG
rnacentral:pre_miRNA from 1 species